rnacentral:rRNA from 1 species
GACGAACCGUGCGAACGUUGUUCGGAAUCACUGGGCUUAAAGGGCGCGUAGGCGGCUUUGCAAGUGACGGGUGAAAUCCCUCGGCUUAACCGAGGAACUGCCUGUCAAACUGCAUGGCUUGAGACCGGGAGAGGUGAGUGGAAUUCCCAGUGUAGCGGUGAAAUGCGUAGAUAUUGGGAGGAACACCAGUGGCGAAGGCGGCUCACUGGACCGGUACUGACGCUGAUGCGCGAAAGCCAGGGGAGCAAACGGG